rnacentral:rRNA from 1 species
GGGCAGACUAGAGUGCGGUAGGGGAGAUUGGAAUUCCUGGUGUAGCGGUGGAAUGCGCAGAUAUCAGGAGGAACACCGAUGGCGAAGGCAGAUCUCUGGGCCGUAACUGACGCUGAGGAGCGAAAGCAUGGGGAGCGAACAGGAUUAGAUACCCUGGUAGUCCAUGCCGUAAACGUUGGGCGCUAGAUGUAGGGACCUUUCCACGGUUUCUGUGUCGUAGCUAACGCAUUAAGCGCCCCGCCUGGGGAGUACGGCCGCAAGGCUAAAACUCAAAGGAAUUGACGGGGGCCCGCACAAGCGGCGGAGCAUGCGGAUUAAUUCGAUGCAACGCGAAGAACCUUACCAAGGCUUGACAUACACCGGAAACGGCCAGAGAUGGUCGCCCCCUUGUGGUCGGUGUACAGGUGGUGCAUGGUUGUCGUCAGCUCGUGUCGUGAGAUGUUGGGUUAAGUCCCGCAACGAGCGCAACCCUCGUUCUAUGUUGCCAGCGGGUUAUGCCGGGGACUCAUAGGAGACUGCCGGGGUCAACUCGGAGGAAGGUGGGGAUGACGUCAAAUCAUCAUGCCCCUUAUGUCUUGGGCUUCACGCAUGCUACAAUGGCCGGUACAAAGGGCUGCGAUACCGUAAGGUGGAGCGAAUCCCAAAAAGCCGGUCUCAGUUCGGAUUGAGGUCUGCAACUCGACCUCAUGAAGUCGGAGUCGCUAGUAAUCGCAGAUCAGCAACGCUGCGGUGAAUACGUUCCCGGGCCUUGUACACACCGCCCGUCAAGUCAUGAAAGUCGGUAACACCCGAAGCCGGUGGCCUAACCCUUGUGGAAGGAGCCGUCGAAGGUGGGAUCGGUGAUUAGGACUAAGUCGUA